AGAGAUCAGGGAAAACAAGCUUGGGGAACAUCCAGGGGCUUUACCUUCCAGGGAGAAACGCUCUAAGUCGGGGUCUCACAUUCCCCACUCCUUCUAGUACAUAGUUCUAAUCUUAGAACUAGGAAAAUUAAAACUCUGGCCCAGUUGUCAAACAAAGCCAACAUGAGGUCGCAACUUUAGGAUAUGUAACAUUGAGAGCCUCAGAAGCCCCUUGAAUAUGACUAGAGAGUCUCUCCUCAGUGGUAGGAGGGAGGGAGGAGGUUCCUGUGCCGUGCCUGGUGAGUGUGAGCAAGGCCAUGCCAGUGGGCCACAGCAGGGCCAGGAGGGGGAGCCGGGGCGCAUGCCCGAGGAGCAGCGGGACUUGUCGGAAGCACCAGGUGCACACGUGUGGAGAGAGGACAACCUCAGACGUCAUUCCUCAGGAGCCAUUCACCUUGUUUACUGAGCCGUGGUUGCUCACCAGUCUGGAGCUGGCCAAGCAAGCUAGGCUGUCUGGCAGCCUCUCACCUCACAGCCUAACGGAGCAGGCAUCCCUAGAUGGAUUGACAGAGAUCAGCCCAAAGUUGGUGCUUAAUAGAUCUUAGCUGAGCAAAAGAGGAAUGAGAGGCACUGGAGUUUCCUGCCCAAGAGAAAGCCAACUGCUUGUUCCUUGCCUGUAUCCUUUAGCAUGCUGAACAACCCAGGCAGAUGGAGCCAGAAAAGUGGCUCAGUGGUUAAGAGCAUCUGUUGUUCCCAGAGGACCCAGGUUCAGCUUCUGGGACCCACAUGGUAGCUUAUAACCAUCUAUCAGACUCAAGAGAUCUGAGACCCUCUCUUGACCCCUGUGAGCACCAGGCAAGUAUACAGUGCACAUACACGCAUGCAAGUUAAACACUCACACACAAAAUAAAAUAAAUAAUAAAUAUUAAAANUAUU
ensembl:antisense Gm43734 predicted gene 43734